GGAAAGGUCCCAAAGUGGUACCAGUGGGGGAAAGGUCCCCUGGCUGUACUGGAGGAGGGAAAUGUCCCAUGGUGGUACUGGUGGGGGAAAGGUCUCAUGGCUGUACUGGAGGAGGGAAAGGUCCCACGGUGGGAAAGGUCCCCUGGCAGCACCAGGGGGAAGGAGGUGCCCUCCUGCCGCUGGCACCGCCCCGCUCCACUCGCCCCGGGACUGCACUGGGAACUUCGAAGUAAAUCCUGUCCCAUGGAUCCUGUGCCAUAAAUCCUGCUCCUCCA